rnacentral:rRNA from 1 species
AAUAGAUACCCGGGUAGUCCACGCCGUAAACGAUGAGUGCUAAGUGUUAGAGGGUUUCCGCCCUUUAGUGCUGCAGCAAACGCAUUAAGCACUCCGCCUGGGGAGUACGGUCGCAAGACUGAAACUCAAAGGAAUUGACGGGGGCCCGCACAAGCGGUGGAGCAUGUGGUUUAAUUCGAAGCAACGCGAAGAACCUUACCAGGUCUUGACAUCCUUCGCUACUUCUAGAGAUAGAAGGUUCCCCUUCGGGGGACGGAGUGACAGGUGGUGCAUGGUUGUCGUCAGCUCGUGUCGUGAGAUGUUGGGUUAAGUCCCGCAACGAGCGCAACCCUUGACCUUAGUUGCCAGCAUUCAGUUGGGCACUCUAAGGUGACUGCCGGUGACAAACCGGAGGAAGGUGGGGAUGACGUCAAAUCAUCAUGCCCCUUAUGACCUGGGCUACACACGUGCUACAAUGGAUGGUACAAAGGGCUGCAAGACUGCGAAGUCAAGCCAAUCCCAUAAAACCAUUCUCAGUUCGGAUUGCAGG